GCCAACCUAGCUCAGUUGGUAGAGCAACGUAUUCGUAAUGCGUGGGUCGUGGGUUCGACUCCCAUGGUUGGCU
rnacentral:tRNA from 1 species